UGUGCUCCCCCGCCAACUCCUCGCCCCCGCCCGACGGGGCGCAGCAGGCGCGAAACCUUUACAAUGCGGGCAACCGUGAUAAGGGAACCUCGAGUGCCUGUAAACGCAGGCUGUUCAGGUGUUUAAAACGCACCUGGAGAAAGGGCCGGGCAAGACCGGUGCCAGCCGCCGCGGUAAUACCGGCGGCUCGGGUGGUGGCCGCUUUUAUUGGGCUUAAAGCGUUCGUAGCUGGGUUGUUAAGUCUCUUGGGAAAUCUGGCGGCUUAACCGUCAGGCGUCUAAGGGAUACUGGCAAUCUUGGAACCGGGAGAGGUGAGGGGUACUUCGGGGGUAGGGGUGAAAUCCUGUAAUCCUCGAGGGACCACCUGUGGCGAAGGCGCCUCACCAGAACGGCUUCGACAGUGAGGGACGAAAGCUGGGGGAGCAAACCGGAUUAGAUACCCGGGUAGUCCCAGCCGUAAACGAUGCGCGUUAGGUGUAUCGGUGACCACGAGUUACCGAGGUGCCGAAGGGAAACCGUGAAACGCGCCGCCUGGGAAGUACGGUCACAAGGCUGAAACUUAAAGGAAUUGGCGGGGGAGCAC
rnacentral:rRNA from 1 species